rnacentral:rRNA from 1 species
AUAGAGUUUGAUCCUGGCUCAGAUUGAACGCUGGCGGCAUGCCUUACACAUGCAAGUCGAACGGCAGCGCGGACUUCGGUCUGGCGGCGAGUGGCGAACGGGUGAGUAAUACAUCGGAACGUACCCUGUUGUGGGGGAUAACUAGUCGAAAGAUUAGCUAAUACCGCAUACGACCUGAGGGUGAAAGUGGGGGACCGCAAGGCCUCACGCAGCAGGAGCGGCCGAUGUCUGAUUAGCUAGUUGGUGGGGUAAAGGCCCACCAAGGCGACGAUCAGUAGCUGGUCUGAGAGGACGAUCAGCCACACUGGGACUGAGACACGGCCCAGACUCCUACGGGAGGCAGCAGUGGGGAAUUUUGGACAAUGGGGGCAACCCUGAUCCAGCAAUGCCGCGUGUGUGAAGAAGGCCUUCGGGUUGUAAAGCACUUUUGUCCGGAAAGAAAUCGCGCUGGUUAAUACCUGGCGUGGAUGACGACCGA